rnacentral:rRNA from 1 species
UACGGAGGGUGCGAGCGUUGUCCGGAAUUAUUGGGCGUAAAGAGCUCGUAGGCGGUCUGUUGCGUCGGCUGUGAAAACCCGGGGCUCAACUCCGGGCCUGCAGCCGAUACGGGCAGACUAGAGUUCGGCAGGGGAGACUGGAAUUCCUGGUGUAGCGGUGAAAUGCGCAGAUAUCAGGAGGAACACCGGUGGCGAAGGCGGGUCUCUGGGCCGAUACUGACGCUGAGACGCGAAAGCGUGGGGAGCAAACAGG